rnacentral:rRNA from 1 species
UACGUAGGGUGCGAGCGUUGUCCGGAAUUAUUGGGCGUAAAGGGCUCGUAGGCGGUUUGUCGCGUCAGGAGUGAAAACUCGGGGCUUAACCCCGAGCCUGCUUCUGAUACGGGCAGACUAGAGGUAUGCAGGGGGAGAACGGAAUUCCUGGUGUAGCGGUGAAAUGCGCAGAUAUCAGGAGGAACACCGGUGGCGAAGGCGGUUCUCUGGGCAUUACCUGACGCUGAGGAGCGAAAGUGUGGGGAGCGAACAGG